UGAUAACAGAAUUAAUUUCGUGUUUAAGAGCUAAUCACCAAGAAUAUUAGGUAACAUGCGGUUACAGCAUUUUAUCACGAUAUACAGGACUGCCGUAAUAACCGACUCAUCGAUGAAAUAACUGAUCUGUCCUCACCCGGACGACCCACAUGCAACUAAGUAUCAAGAUGCUUCCAAGCGAACAAUCUUCACCUUCUCACGACAUAGCUCUUCCAGUGGUUCUUCUUGGAAUGCGGAGCGCAUUCAAGGGUUGCCUCCAAUCGUCAUCCGCGAAACUUGUGUAUGGAAAACCCCCUUCCAGAAGAGAUGAUCAGCCCUCCUACCCGCCAGCAAGUACUCAGUGACAUAACAGACAGUCUCUAACAACAGCCUUGGACAGAUUAUGUCACGCAUUCGUCCAACGCCUGCCUCUCGCCAUACUAAAUCGUCCGUUUUUGUGUUUAGAGACCUGGUAACUUGCUCACGUUUUCCUGAGAGCCCGUCUACUUCUUUGCAGAUGCGUUUUGCCUGCCUCUACUAGUGCUUCCGGUUCUCGAAUAUAACACACUUGAUUACAUCACACGUUCCGGCCGGCACGUGCGCUUUUAUCUAAAAGAAUAGGUUUUCUCACUCUCCAGGUGGGUGAUGUGGCGACAUAGGAUUUAAAUAGCAACCGCUGAGCAGGGGCCAUUGCAAUGAAAAACAGAGAGAAAUUUCGAGAAUAAUUUUGAAGGAUAAACGUGUUUCAUAUUAUUGUAAAUUGUGGGCGACCAAAAAUGAGUUGCCUUUGGAAGUUCAAGUUUAAGAUUUCCCAUGUAAAGAAAAAUUCUAAAGGUAACUUGACAGCCAUUUUUGAUCGCAUAGUGUAUCUUGCUCGGUUGAUAUUUUUAAUAUGUUUACAAUACGACAUGGCAUUCAGGUUAGAGAACAAGUGGGUAUUUAUCUAGUUUUCCGAACUGCGGUCGAUGAAGUAAGAAUGGUGCUCUAGGUUAAAGGCGUUUUAAAUGGACCAUAAACAGAUAAGGCAUGUUUGUGAAGAAAUGGCAAAGAGUAAUCUUUGGAAAUGGACACAGGUACACUUAAAAUCGCCAAACCAGCCUUGCCUUUUUAGCGCAGCAACCCCCAUUCAAAACGCCUUUCACAAGGAGCAGACUCUUAGUUGACUGUAUGUACACUGUUCCUAAAACUAGAUAUCCAUUUGCUCUCUAACCUGAAUGCCAUGUGUUACAAUGGCAAAGAUGUAUAACCUCAUACCCUAUUAAUAUAAGCACAGAUGUAUUUCAGUCUGCGAUAUGUGCUCUUCUGUCAACUGCAGGGAGAACAGAGUGAAAUGUUCAAUUGCCUACAACUGCAUGCACUACCACAGAGAAGAAGACUGAAUACAACAUCACGAAAAGAAAGAAAAUUUUGCAGAACGUUCAAGUGAAAUAAUUUCUUGCCUUACUUUGACGUGUGGAAAUAACGGGCGAUCAAAAAUGAGUUGCUGUCGAGUUGCCUUUGGAAGUUCAAGUUAAAUACGAUUUUCCAUGUAAACAAAAAUUCCAAAGGUAACUCGAAAGCAACUCAUUUUUGAUCGCAUUGUAUUUAUUGUUUGAACACCAUUGCAAAAUUGAAAUUUUUGAAUGUACUGUUUUCUCCGUCUAUUUUGUUUUGGUUGAAAUCGCAAAGGCUAGGACAGGAGAAAGAAACAAAUGAAGAGUUACAUUAAUAAUUUAUUCAUACAUCAAUGGUCAAGCGUAAUCGUAGAGCAAGCAAUUUACUUACUCUAUGAUAAUCGAAGCAAACAAGAUAGUCUAGUAGAUUUGUGUUUAAUUGAAGAAAUCUACUAGACUAUCCUGAUGAUUUUUAUUUUGAAUAAGCUUAAGCUGCCCCUUUACUUUCACAAAUAGGCUUUCUAUGGCAAUUAAUUUUACAUUCCCAAUAAUUUUGUGUCAAUUUUCACAGCAAAAAUCGACAGCGUUGCUACAUAGAAAGCCCCUCGUUAA